GAUAAACGCUGGCGGCGCGCAUGAGACAUGCAAGUCGAACGGACGAUCGAGGCUUGCUUCGAUCGUUAGUGGCGGACGGCUGAGUAACGCGUAGGUGACCUGCCCCGAAGUGGGGAAUAACUGCCCGAAAGGGUGGCUAAUACCGCAUGUGGUGGUGUGUUCAAUCACACCAGUAAAGCCGCAAGGCGCUUCGGGGAGGGGCCUGCGUCCGAUUAGCUCGUUGGUGGGGUAACGGCNCACCAAGGCGACGACGGGUAGCCGGCCUGAGAGGGCGACCGGCCACACUGGGACUGAGACACGGCCCAGACUCCUACGGGAGGCAGCAGUGGGGAAUCUUGCGCAAUGGGCGAAAGCCUGACGCAGCGACGCCGCGUGA
rnacentral:rRNA from 1 species